rnacentral:rRNA from 1 species
CCUACGGGAGGCAGCAGUGAGGAAUCUUGGUCAAUGGGCGCGAGCCUGAACCAGCCAAGUAGCGUGAAGGAUGACUGCCCUACGGGUUGUAAACUUCUUUUAUAAAGGAAUAAAGUGAGGCACGUGUGCCUUUUACUAUGUAAUUUAUGCAUAAGGAUAGGCUAACUCCGUGCCAGCAGCCGCGGUAAUACGGAGGAUCCGAGCGUUAUCCGGAUGUAUUGUGUUUAAAGGGUACGCAGGCGGAGGAUCAAGUCAGCGUUAAAAUUGAGAGGCUCAACCUCUUCGAGCCUUUGAAACUGGUUUACUUGAGUGAGAGAGAAGUGUGCGGAAUGCGUUGUGUAGCGGUGAAAUGCAUAGAUAUAACGCAGAACUCCGAUGGCGAAGGCAGCAUACCGGCGCUCAACUGACGCUCAUGCACGAAAGUGUGGGUAUCGAACAGGAUUAGAUACCCGGGUAGUC